ACUCCCCAUCUGAAUCUUGGCGCUGUCUCCCCAGUCUUCUUCCUCUUGCAAGCGUGGCCCGAAGCGGCGGCGGUGGCACGGGACAGCGGCGGUCCGGAGCAGCGGCCGCGGGGCUGGGCCGCGGUGCCCGGCGGCGCGGAGCAGCCAUGGCUCGAUGUGGGGCUGCGGCACCUGGCAGCCACUCGAUGCCGCGCAGAGGAGGUCUGCAGCAGUCUCCAGGAGGAGCCACGCCGGACCACCUCACCCGCGUGGAGCAGGCGCUGCUGCAGUUGGCACAUGGAGAUGGGUCACAUGCACUCGGAGACAGGCGUGGCUCCGGCGGCCAGGCAUGGUGCGCACCUGCAGAUCCGGCGGCCUAGCUCGGCGCGGGCGCUGCUCCGGCGGCCAGGCGCAGCGCGGGCGCGGCGACGUGGGCCCGGUGGUCUGGCUCGGCGUGGCCGCGGCGCGGACGCGGACGUGCGGCGGCGGCGUGGAUGUGCAGCGGCGGUUUUUUUAUUUUUUUAAUUGAUUUCUAGGAGCGGGUGAUGAGGGGACCCGCCCCUAGAAAUCGAUUUCCAGAGACGGGUGACGGGGUGACCCGCCCCUAGAAAUCGAUUUCUAGGAAUGAGUAACGUACCCGUCCCUGCAAACAAUUAUUUUUAGCUUCGGAAAGCAAGGGCGGGUGCGACGUCCGCCCCUAAAAAUGCUAUUUCACCCGCUCCUAGAAACCUUUUAUGCGGUAGUGUACUUUCCAGUGAUGUUGCAUUCUCAAGAAUAUUGCGUGUUAGCUCAA